AAAGAAACAAAAUAUUUAAGACUCGGAUUGGAAGUUUUGAUUCCAAGUCGAGAAAAUGCAGAUUGCCUUUAUGAUGACAUUUGGGGAGCUUUUACAUUCCUAUCAAUCUGGUUAGAAGAAGAAAAAUCUUCAUUUAAUCUUUGAAAGACAGAAACUUUACCUUUUAUAUCGACCACUGGAGAGGGUUCUCCUUUUAACCUUGUAAACACCGA
rnacentral:lncRNA from 1 species